UGCUCGCUUUCCACAUUGCCAGUUGGACAUAUGUCUUUAUUGGUCAUUCAGUUUGGGCAAAAGAAACAGCCUUUUAAAGCUCAGGCAAACUAAAUGUUUGUCUUGUAUCUUUUCAGAGGAAUCCAAU
rnacentral:snoRNA from 1 species